rnacentral:rRNA from 1 species
GAGGAAAGCUGGCGGCGUGCCUAAUACAUGCAAGUCGAGCGAACGGACGAGAAGCUUGCUUCUCUGAUGUUAGCGGAGGACGGGUGAGUAACACGUGUAUAACCUACCUAUAAGACUGGGAUAACUUCGGGAAACCGUAGCUAAUACCGGAUAAUAUUUUGAUCCGCAUGGUUCAAUAGUGAAAGUCGGUGUUUCUGUCUCUUAUAGAUGGAUCCGCGCUUCAUUAGCUGGUUGGUAGGGUAACGGCUUAUCAAGGCAACGAGGCAUAGCCGACGUGAGAGGGGGAUCGGCCACACUGGAACUGAGACAGGGUCCUGACUACUACGGGAGGCAGCAGUAGGGAAUCGUACGCAAUGGGGGAAAGCCUGACGGAGCAACGCAGCGUGAGAGAUAGAGGUCUUCGGAUCGGAAAACUCUGUUAUGAGGGAAGAACAUAUGUGUAAGUAACUGAACACAGCUUGACGGUAACUAAUAAGAAAGCCACGGCUAACUACGUG